GCACAAGCGGUGGAGCAUGUGGUUUAAUUCGACGCAACGCGAAGAACCUUACCUGGGUUUGACAUCCCGAUCGUACUCUAUGGAAACAUAGGGGUCAGUUCGGCUGGAUCGGUGACAGGUGCUGCAUGGCUGUCGUCAGCUCGUGUCGUGAGAGUUGUUGGGUUAAGUCCCGCAACGAGCCGCAACCCUUUAUCCCUAGUUGCCAUCAGGUAAAGCUGGGAACUCUGGGGAGACUGCCGGUGAUAAACCGGAGGAAGGCGGGGAUGACGUCAAGUCCUCAUGGCCCUUACAUCCCGGGCUACACACGUGCUACAAUGGCAGGUACAGAGGGCUGCGAAGCCGCGAGGUGGAGCGAAUCCCAGAAAACCUGUCUCAGUCCGGAUUGAAGUCUGCAACUCGACUUCAUGAAGGCGGAAUCGCUAGUAACCGCGAAUCAGCAGGUCGCGGUGAAUACGUUCCCGGGCCUU
rnacentral:rRNA from 1 species